ensembl:lncRNA
CUCACUGUGUGACAUGAUGAAGCUCUGUUUAUAGAUCUGUCUGUUGUUUUCAGUACCAGGCUGCAUGUACAUCUGUGUCUGUGAGCUUAGAAGAUGGAGAGAAAGACUUGUAGACCGAUGUUGCUUGAGGAGCACUCUCAGUUACAGGACAUGCGAGCUUGCCCGCUCUUUCAGGACUAAAUGAAUGUACGUGAAUUAGAGUUGGGUGUGUGUGUGUGUGUGUGUGUGUCUGAGUGGGGGAACAUGACAGACAGGUCCAUGUGUCACAGCUCUGCACACAAUAGCGCUGUGCUUCACUCUUGGUUUGCUGGUCCUCUUGCACACUGGCGUUCUAUUCAACAACAUCUUACCCCAACAGCUGGACUCACACUGUGCCAAAAUAUGCUUCACUGCAAUGCAAAAGUGUCAAUGACAAAUUUGCCUGAGAAGAAUAGAAUAAAUGGAUUUACAAUUCAAGAGUCAACGGAUUUACAAUUCAGUAUGUCAUACAUGGUACUCUUUAUAUUCCUUACUUUACCGCUUGAGAAAGUUUUCAUCAAAUAUGUUCCAUUUUUUAGUUAGGACAACUGUGAGAAAAGUGAAAAGCCAAUCUCCUCGGGACAGCUGGGUCCGCCUGUCUCUAUUCCCAGACGCAGGAUAACAAAUAACAAAUCUGUCUUAUUUCAGUAAGGAAGGUAUUUUUCUUUUAGCAGUUAACCAUUUCUAUUACAUUUCCUUCGGGUUUCGGCUGAAUUCUAUCUUUCAUUACUCUCUUUUCUAUUGAUCAUUUUUUUGUAGGAUCAUUUCACCCAUACUAUUGCAUAUGAUCCUAUUCUUAAUGAAGCAGAAAACUAUGAUGUCAAUGAUGGCAUGUGUGUAUAUUACAGGUAAAUAGGCUGCCACCCAGUAUGGAUUAGAAGCAGAGUGGAAUUUGUGCUUAAUGGUUUGGUGGGAAUGAGCAGCUGGAAGCAGAACGUUUCUGCAGGUAGAUCGGGUGGAAAGACUGCGGCAGCAUCCCACAGUGGAGAUAGGGGAAGAAAAGAGCCAGUUAGUGGGGCGACAGUGGUGUCCGUAUAUGUAAUAUGUGAUUAUAGGUUAUGAGUGGACAGAGCUACGUGUCUGUAUAUGUAAUAUGUGAUUAUAGGUUAUGAGUGGACAGAGCUACGUGUCCGUAUAUGUAAUAUGUGAUUAUAGGUUAUGAGUGGACAGAGCUAGGUGUCUGUAUAUGUAAUAUGUGAUUAUAGGUUAUGAGUGGACAGAGCUACGUGUCCGUAUAUGUAAUAUGUGAUUAUAGGUUAUGGUGAUGAGGAACAAUGUUAUCACAGCCAUCAGCAUUUACAGGUAAAGCUUUUACUAGAGAAGAGAACCGAGACAGGUUAGAAACAGAAUAUCAGAAAAUCAAUCAUAC